AUGACACAGGAGAAGUUCCUGAUUUUAACAUUUCUGAAGGGAGCUGCUGACAGAGAAAUAGAAAACUCAGAUUCUUCCAUGCUGACGGCCGUGCACAAGAGUUGGAGCGUAUCUCCUGUCAAAGAACAUCUCUAGACAUUAUGAACCAUCUGUCUAAGACUGAAAAUCAUCAAUAAACCAAAAGUUUGGUUUAGCUCCAACCCCAAUUAAGCAGACCUGAGCAGUUGAUCAACUAUCACCAGAAACUCUGCAGAACGUUGGUCCUCUAUGCCCAGGACUGGACACCAGUGUUGUAAGU